AAGUGAUGCAUUCAAAUAUGUUGAUGAAGGUGAAAGGCGCAUUCAGAACAAUUUGACCCGCGGACUAACAGAUCGCGGAUCGAAUAUGACCGAUCCACUUGAAAGCUUGCCGCAUAAUCCCCUAAUGUACACUACAAAGCUUCCCUGUGCGGGUUAAUCAGCAAGCUUUCAUGUGGGUGGGCCAUAUUUUGGUUGUGAGUGCGGUCAAAGAGAAGCAGGUUGCAUUCUGUCCUAUAAAUUCACGAGAACAUGAUAUGAGCAGGUAAACACAUUACACUGCUUUCAUUUGGCAGAAGAAGAUGACCGUAUCAGCGGAAUACAAACGUUAUGUGGAAGCUAAAUGCAGAGAUACCUACCACUGCUGACGAGUUUUGAAAGAGAAGAACAGACAGCACGAUGAGAACUUUACUGGAGAUCCACACCAUCUUGCUGCUUCGGUAGAUUUAAUGGAACAACCAGA